rnacentral:rRNA from 1 species
CGGACCUGACUGCUAUCGGAUUGAUACUAAGCCAUGCGAGUCAUUGUAGUAAUACAAGGCAGACGGCUCAGUAACGCGUAGUCAACCUACCCUAUGGACGGGGAUAACCUCGGGAAACUGAGAAUAAUACCCGAUAGAACAUUAUGCCUGGAAUGGUUUAUGUUUCAAAUAAUUUAUUGCCGUAGGAUGGGACUGCGGCCUAUCAGUUUGUUGGUGAGGUAAUGGCCCACCAAGACUAUUACAGGUACGGGCUCUGAGAGGAGUAGCCCGGAGAUGGGUACUGAGACACGGACCCAGGCCCUAUGGGGCGCAGCAGGCGAGAAAACUUUGCAAUGUGCGAAAGCACGACAAGGUUAAUCCGAGUGGUUUCUGCUAAAGGAACCUUUUGUCAGUCCUAGAAACACUGAUGAAUAAGGGGUGGGCAAGUUCUGGUGUCAGCCGCCGCGGUAAAACCAGCACCUCAAGUGGUCAGGAUGAUUAUUGGGCCUAAAGCAUCCGUAGCCUGCUUUGUAAGUUUUCGGUUAAAUCCAUACGCUCAACGUAUGGGCUGCCGGGAAUACUGCAAAGCUAGGGAGUGGGAGAGGUAGACGGUACUCGGUAGGAAGGGGUAAAAUCCUUUGAUCUAUUGAUGACCACCUGUGGCGAAGGCGGUCUACCAGAACACGUCCGACGGUGAGGGAUGAAAGCUGGGGGAGCAAACCGGAUUAGAUACCCGGGUAGUCCCAGCUGUAAACUAUGCAAACUCAGUGAUGCAUUGGCUUGAUGCCAAUGCAGUGCUGCAGGGAAGCCGUUAAGUUUGCCGCCUGGGAAGUACGUACGCAAGUAUGAAACUUAAAGGAAUUGGCGGGG